AUGAUUCUGAAACAAUCUGCAAUUAAAAAUAAGAGAUAUGGUAAUCUUCAAGCAAUUGAGGAUUUGACCAUUUGAUAUUCCCAAAAAUUGAAAAAGCCAGUCAGUGCGUUUACAAGCAGAACCCCCUUUCCCCGACUGUGGGCCCAUCACCAGCUCCUUUAGACCUUAAUAGCUCCUAUUUUAUCUUCAUGUCAUCAUGUGCCAUGCAAAAUUAA
rnacentral:lncRNA from 1 species